rnacentral:rRNA from 1 species
GUGGGGAAUAUUGCACAAUGGGGGAAACCCUGAUGCAGCGACGCCGCGUGAGUGAAGAAGGGUUUCGGCUCGUAAAGCUCUGUUGUCGGGGACGAAUGUGCAGUAUUUGAAUAAAGUACUGUAAUGACGGUACCUGACGAGGAAGCCACGGCUAACUACGUGCCAGCAGCCGCGGUAAUACGUAGGUGGCAAGCGUUGUCCGGAAUUAUUGGGCGUAAAGGGAGCGCAGGCGGGAAGGUAAGUCGGUCUUAAAAGUGCGGGGCUCAACCCCGUGAUGGGAUCGAAACUAUCUUUCUUGAGUGCAGGAGAGGAAAGUGGAAUUCCUAGUGUAGCGGUGAAAUGCGUAGAUAUUAGGAGGAACACCAGUGGCGAAGGCGACUUUCUGGACUGUAACUGACGCUGAGGCUCGAAAGCCAGGGGAGCGAACGGGAUUAGAUACCCUUGUAGUCC